GGAAGUAAAAGUUGUAACAAGGUUUCCGUAGGUGAACCUGCGGAAGGAUCAUUACAGAGUUCAUGCCCUCACGGGUAGAUCUCCCACCCUUGAAUAUUUAUACCUUAGUUGCUUUGGCAGGCCGUGGAAACACCAUGGGCUCCGGCUUAUGCGUGCCUGCCAGAGGAAGCAAACUCUGUUUUUAGUGAUGUCUGAGUACUAUAUAAUAGUUAAAACUUUCAACAACGGAUCUCUUGGUUCUG
rnacentral:misc_RNA from 1 species